CAGGCUUAACACAUGCAAGUCGAACGGGUGUAGCAAUACAUCAGUGGCAGACGGGUGAGUAACACGUGGGAACCUUCCUCGUUGUACGGGACAACUCAGGGAAACUUGAGCUAAUACCGUAUACGUCCGAGAGGAGAAAGAUUUAUCGCAAUGAGACGGGCCCGCGUCGGAUUAGCUAGUUGGUGGGGUAACGGCCUACCAAGGCGACGAUCCGUAGCUGAUCUGAGAGGAUGAUCAGCCACACUGGGACUGAGACACGGCCCAGACUCCUACGGGAGGCAGCAGUGGGGAAUCUUGGACAAUGGGCGCAAGCCUGAUCCAGCCAUGCCGCGUGAGUGAAGAAGGCCUUAGGGUUGUAAAGCUCUUUUGCCAGGGACGAUCAUGACGGUACCUGGAGAAUAAGCCCGGCAAAUUCGUGCCAGAGCCGCGGUAUACGACAGGGGCUAGCGUUGUUCGGAUUUACUGUGCGUAAAGCGCACGUAGGC
rnacentral:rRNA from 1 species